ACCGCGGUAGCCCAGUUGGUUAGAGUACUGAUGCCGAAGGUCGCAGGUUCAAAUCCUGCCUGCGGUG